AGCAAAUUUAAGAGUCCUAACACCUGGGCAGGGCUUUUUUAAUUUCUACCAGCAAAAAGCAUGUUUCUCCAGAAAUCCAAUUUUGCAGUGCAUGCAAUGUGGUAACUCUUCUCUCCUGUGUUCUUUGAACUAAAGAAAAACAACAGUGGAAAAUCAAAGGUAACUUAAUGCAAACAAACAAACAAAAAAGCCCAAACCCAGCAUUGAAAGAAAAUAAUGUCCAGAUGGAAGCAUAAGGAGACAGCCCAGGACACAAAAACAACUCUUACCUUCUGCGUGUACCUGUGAAAGAAGCAGCUCUAUCCAGCAACUAACCCGACAACAGCCUGUGCACCAUCUUUUAUUGAAGGAGUUCACAAACUUCAUUCACCUGGUUAUCACAAUCAGUGGCUACCACAGUUGCCAUCAUCAUCAUCAAAAGCUGGACCAUGUAUCACUUGAAAGUGGUUUGUGUUCUGAUAAUGACAUAAAGGCUCAAGAUUACAAUCUUUGGUUCCACUCCUCUCGAAGUCACUUCAACUUUACCUGUGACACUGGCUCAGAGGCUCAAAUAAAUGAAGCUUUUUCUUCCGGGAAUUUUACAUCUCCUUCAGCACUGGAUGAAAGCACUGCUGGACACUGGCCAGCUCCGACAGUGUUCAAAGGCCUAGGACUUCUCACAGCUGGAGGUUAAAGAGUCACUCACAAAGCCAGCCAUCAUACUGCCUCUCACACAAGUGCACCAGUGGGCCCCUCUCCUGCUGGCAGAUGGAGCAUUUUGCACUGCACUUUGAAAUGAGUAGAAAGAGUGACAUCCUUCAGAUGAAAAGAAUGGGAGAAUCUAAACAUAAUUAGAAUAUGUCCUAACGUCCUUGAAGAAACAUUUGCACUGGCUGUCAGCCCAGAUCCCACGUGAUGCACAUGGCACUGGAAUAGGCUGGAACAUGUUGCAGCAUUACAAAACAGCAGGUCUUCAUUAGUGAGGAAUCUUCCCUGUCUAAACAACUGUGCACAAAGCACCUAAGCAUUUUAAAUCAAGCAGAAUUUCAAUGAUGCAUAAAGGGAGUGCCAGAGGUAACUCACUUGGAUAUUAGUAAUUGAUAUGCCACUUUUCACUAUAUUGCUCGCAAAAUUAUUUAAGUUGCCUUGGAUACAGACAGAAUCUUGUCAGGAGAACUGGGUAAGAGACGCUACUAAAAUAGCAAUAUAACUUGAAAAUAAAGAGUAACAUGACAUAAGUUUCUGACAAAGAAAGAUGGGAAUUAUUAGGGUUACUUUGAUUCAAAAUCUUCUUCGAUGAAGUAAAAUGUAGGAACUAAAAACCUCCUUGUUUAAAUUGUAAUUGCAGAAUGAUGCAAAAAAUCAAUCUAGAGAAAAACAAUUAUGAAAAUCUAAUGCAAGCUGUAGGGCUUCUUUUUAUUUUUUAUUAUUAUUAUU